rnacentral:rRNA from 1 species
UCCAGACUCCUACGGGAGGCAGCAGUGGGGAAUAUUGCACAAUGGGCGAAAGCCUGAUGCAGCGACGCCGCGUGGGUGAAGGAGUAUUUCGGUAUGUAAAGCCCUAUCGGCAGGGAAGAAGCAAGACGGUACCUGACUAAGAAGCCCCGGCUAACUACGUGCCAGCAGCCGCGGUAAUACGUAGGGGGCGAGCGUUAUCCGGAUUCACUGGGUGUAAAGGGAGCGUAGACGGCCAUGCAAGCCAGGGGUGAAAGCCCGGGGCCCAACCCCGGGACUGCCCUUGGAACUGCAUGGCUGGAGUGCGGGAGGGGCAGGCGGAAUUCCUGGUGUAGCGGUGAAAUGCGUAGAUAUCAGGAGGAACACCGGCGGCGAAGGCGGCCUGCUGGACCGCGACUGACGUUGAGGCUCGAAAGCGUGGGGAGCAAACAGGAUUAGAUACCCCAGUAC